rnacentral:rRNA from 1 species
AACGAACGCUGGCGGCAUGCCUAACACAUGCAAGUCGAACGAGACCUUCGGGUCUAGUGGCGCACGGGUGCGUAACGCGUGGGAACCUGCCCUUAGGUUCGGAAUAACUCCCCGAAAGGGGUGCUAAUACCGGAUAAUGUCUUCGGACCAAAGAUUUAUCGCCUUCGGAUGGGCCCGCGUUGGAUUAGCUAGUUGGUAGGGUAAAAGCCUACCAAGGCGACGAUCCAUAGCUGGUCUGAGAGGAUGAUCAGCCACACUGGGACUGAGACACGGCCCAGACUCCUACGGGAGGCAGCAGGGGGGAAUAUUGGACAAUGGGCGAAAGCCUGAUCCAGCAAGGCCGCGGGAGUGAUGAAGGCCUUAGGGUUGUAAAGCUCUUUUACCCGGGAUGAUAAGGACAGUACCGGGAGAAUAAGCUCCGGCUAACUCCGU